ACCUACGGGGGGCUGCAGUGGGGAAUAUUGGACAAUGGGCGAAAGCCUGAUCCAGCAAUGCCGCGUGAGUGAUGAAGGCCUUAGGGUUGUAAAGCUCUUUUACCAGGGAUGAUAAUGACAGUACCUGGAGAAUAAGCUCCGGCUAACUCCGUGCCAGCAGCCGCGGUAAUACGGAGGGAGCUAGCGUUGUUCGGAAUUACUGGGCGUAAAGCGCACGUAGGCGGCUACUCAAGUCAGAGGUGAAAGCCCGGGGCUCAACCCCGGAACUGCCUUUGAAACUAGGUAGCUAGAAUCUUGGAGAGGUCAGUGGAAUUCCGAGUGUAGAGGUGAAAUUCGUAGAUAUUCGGAAGAACACCAGUGGCGAAGGCGACUGACUGGACAAGUAUUGACGCUGAGGUGCGAAAGCGUGGGGAGCAAACAGGAUUAGAUACCCUAGUAGUC
rnacentral:rRNA from 1 species